CUUGAAGAGUACCAUCAGCACCUUGAACGAUUUAGAAAAGGGAGAGAAGGCACCUCAAGAAUAAAGAUGCUAUGCGUGGUAAGGUCAAUCAG